rnacentral:lncRNA from 1 species
AGGUUUGUUUGGGUUUCUCAAAAACCAAAGCUGUCUUAAGAACACCGAUAUCAGCCUGUCUCUCGCCAUGCGAAAGCACUGGUACAGUACAGGACAGAGAAGUGCUGUCUUGAGAUCAAAAGUUUCCUUUACCUUGUGGAGUGGAUUGGCAUGAAGACUGUGGAUUUGGGCAGUCAAGGCAGGCAAUCACAAAGGAGAAGCUGAAGCCAUGUGAAGUUGAAGGGUGAUGCAGCCCUUCCCUCUAGACUGUAGAAAUCAGGAGCAGGACAAUGUAUUGCCAGCCUUCUGCCUUCGUUAUGCCGUUUUCCCAGUGUUCCAUGCCUUCUGUGCUCCUGGGAAUUGUCUGAAAACUGAAGUUAAUAAGCUGGAUCCAUGCUCUCAAGUGCCUGGCAAACAAAAAAAAAAAACACAUCAAUUUCAGCUCAUUCAUUCUCUCAAGAUCAGGACUGACUGGAUCACUGAAGUAAUGCUUUGACUUCCUAUAAUAGGGAGUUUCACCUAGAGUGAACAGAAUUGAAAAAUACAAGAGAAACUCAAUAGCAGCAGAACUCCUUGUGAUUGAUCUCCUUUGAAUGUUAACAAGCAAAGAACAUGCCAUUAAUAAAAUCCGAAGUAUGAAAAUCUAUCUGUCA